CAUGGCUCCCGGCACCUGCCGGUCGCGGGGACACGGGGGGGCAGCUUGGCCUCGGCCUGUCCUCAGCAGCGGGGCAGGGCCGCAGGGGCUGGGCGCGAGUCUCCCCGCCACGAAGGAGUAGCUUUGAAUAAAAACACAAAACAAAACACAGGCUGCCUGGUCUGCUGCUUCGUAACAGGGCUGCGAAGCGCCUGGGAGCGGUGCCCGCAGCCCCCCGGGGUCACGGGGGUGAGGGCCACGCGGGAAGGUCGCUGCCCCGAGAGGAGGGCCGGGCCAGGCCAGGGGGGUUGGGUUUGCUGCGCCCCAAAUGCAUAGCAUGCGGGGCCGAGUCCCACAGGCCGGGCGUGAAACCCGUCCACGCGAAGGGCGGCGAGUUGGAAAGCGCCGCGGACUCGAGGGGAGCGCGGCUCAGGAGAAUGAGUCUUGGCAGGUCUGCACAAAUCUUUUAGCACAUGACUGUGCGAUGAUUGGAGUAGCAGGCUGGAGGAAAGAAAUGAUUUGAGCUGUAAAUAACAGGCUGUUUUUUUUCCAGGGAAGGAGGAAAGUGGGGGGGUUGGAGACAGAGGAGAUGCUGAUUUUUUGUGGGAAUUUUAUUUAUUUAUUUUUUUGUGGGGGGUUGUAGCCAUACGUUACCUUGGUUGGAAACUUAGUGCGCCCGUCAGGUAAAGAUGAGCGGCAGAUUGCAGUCGGGUGUAGGACAAUGGUUUGGCAUAAUUCAAUAGAGCUAUUUUAUUGGACUCUAUUAACCUGCUUAACCUUAAGUCUUAACCAUGACAGGAGUUUCAUGUAGGAACCCACAUACAAAGUACAAUAUUGAAUUUUAAUUAGAGCUUUCAAGACCUGAAGUGGAAUGGAUUCUUCUUACUUUCUCCUACCUUUUAAUGUUCCUUUUUUCUUUGGAGACCAGACAGCGAAAGACAUCGGUGCAGAGAGCACGUAACGUCCUAUGUCUUGAGGUUUUUAUUAUCUAGGUGCUGUAAAUCUGUUUUGUGAUAAGGGACGCGGCGACAAAUUCAGAUGGGCAGUUUGAUAUCCCACAAUGUGUGAAGAGACGAGGAUCAUCCUUAUUGAAAUAGUGUCCUGAUCCAAAAAAAAAAUCUUUCUAAUGAUUUGCCAAUAUCAGUCCCUUUCCGCUGACUAAAGAUGAACUGAAUGCUGUUGUUAUUUAUUGUUUAGAUUACCAAAGCAUCUAGGAGCCCUACUUGUGGUCUAGCUCCAGAACCUCAUUGUGUUAUACAAGCCUGGUACAAAAAGGUGAAUCCCUGGAAUCAAAGAACUUGCAAUCUGAGCAGAAGACAAGACGUUGAUUAUCUUAUUGUUCACUGCUGGAAGGACAUAAAGGGCAGAGAAACUGCAGCUUUCCUUCAGUUUCCUCUCUUCACAUGUGACACCAAGCGAAGCUGAUCACCGAGGAAGUUUUUGCUGAGGAAAUUCGGUUUGCUUAAGGAACGCCUUCAGAAUCCAAAUACAUUUGAAAAACUUAAAAUAAAUGAGCAUUCUUCUAAUUGAAGCCUUUUAUGGUGGUUCCCACAAGCAGCUAGUGGAUCUUCUGCAGGAGGAAGUAGAAGAAUGUGUCCUCUACACAUUGCCAGCAAAGAAAUGGCACUGGAGAGCACGGACUGCUGCCCUCUAUUUCAUGCAAACUGUGCCAGCUAAUGCUAAUUACAGGAUCCUCUUUGCGAGCUCAGUGCUUAACCUGACUGAACUUAUUGCCCUUCGGCCUGACCUUGGCAAAUUGAAAAAGGUCCUUUACUUCCAUGAGAACCAACUGGCAUAUCCUGUCCAGAAAUGCCAAGAAAGAGAUUUCCAAUAUGGAUACAACCAGAUUCUUUCAUGUUUGGUUGCUGAUAUUGUAGUGUUCAACUCUGCUUUUAAUAUGGAGUCAUUUCUUACAUCCAUUGGAAAAUGUAUCAAGCUGAUUCCUGACCACAGACCAAAGGAUCUGGAAAAAAUAAUCAGACCGAAGUGCCGAGUUCUUUACUUUCCAAUCAGGUUCCCUGAUGUGAGCAGGUUCAUGCCAGAACACAAACUGGCCCAUUUGGAGAAGAUAACUGGCGUUAAAGGAAAUGGAGAUACUUAUCUAUUUAAGGGUCUGCCUCUCCAACAGAAGAAUGAAGCUACUGGGGGUUUAAUGAAAAACAGCAACUCAGGUCAGGGGUCUGGACUUUGUGAAGUACAGUCUGGACUUUGUACCACACAACAAGAAAGCCUACAUAACCCAUUAACAGCAGCGGAGAAAUUGAACAAGUCUGAAGCAUCAGAAAGUACAAAUCCUUGUCAAGAAGAAGAUAAGCAACAUCUGACUUUUAACCCCUGUAAUAUUUUGAGUGGAAUGGACUAUCAGCAAAGACCUUUACACAUUGUCUGGCCUCACAGGUGGGAACAUGAUAAAGACCCUGAAAGUUUCUUUAAAGUAUUACUGAAACUUAAAGAGAAGGAACUACAUUUUCACGUAUCUGUCCUGGGAGAGACUUUCACCGAUGUGCCAGAUAUAUUUUCA